rnacentral:misc_RNA from 1 species
GAAAUGCGAUAAGUAAUGUGAAUUGCAGAAUUCCGUGAAUCAUCGAAUCUUUGAACGCACAUUGCGCCCGCCAGUAUUCUGGCGGGCAUGCCUGUUCGAGCGUCAUUUCAACCAUCAAGCCCCGGGCUUGUGUUGGGGACCUGCGGCUGCCGCAGGCCCUGAAAACCAGUGGCGGGCUCGCUGUCACACCGAGCGUAGUAGAUUCUCAUCUCGCUCAGGGCGUGCUGCGGGUUCCGGCCGUAAAACAACCUUAUUUUACCCAAGGUUGACCUCGGAUCAGGUAGGAAGACCCGCUGAACUUAAGC